GGCAUCAUCGUCUAACGGUAAGACAUCGGUUACUAAAAGUUAUUAUUUAAACCCGAAAAUGCAGGUUCGAACCCUGACAAUGCCACCA
rnacentral:tRNA from 1 species